UUUUUUUAAUUAAUAUAAUUAUACAUUUAGUCCUCAAUACUUACAUAUUCUAUCAAUUUAAUCCUUAUUCUAGAUAAUCCAACAAAUAUAACCCAAAGACAAUAACCAAGCAUUCCUAUUAAUAGUUGAAAAUCAUAAAAUUAUAUAUUGAAAUGUAAUGUGAAAAUUUUAUAUGUACUAGAAUUGGAAAUCUAGCUGCAAUUCUACCUGAUCAAUUCAACCAGUAUUACGAUUUUUAACUAGAAUUGCAGCGAUGUUUGUUUCGGUUUUAGAACUCUGGUACCAAAUUGAAUAUUAAAAUUGAAAUAAAGUACGAGAUAAUAUAUUAACCCGAAAGAAAAAGGAAAAAGGAAUUGAAACAUAUCUACUUAGUGAAGCUGUUACUAACAACUACUGACUACAUCUUCCAUGAAUUGAUAUCCUUCAGCAAAAUCUUCACAUUUUCGCAUGAAAUUGUUGAAAAUGGAGCAAGUUAAGAUCACCAAGCAACAACUCCAAUCCAUAUGCACUAAAAUGGUCGUACCAAAUAUAUAUAUAUUAU
rnacentral:lncRNA from 1 species